GACGAACGCUGGCGGCGUGCUUAACACAUGCAAGUCGAACGGAAAGGCCCAGCUUGCUGGGUGCUCGAGUGGCGAACGGGUGAGUAACACGUGGGUGAUCUGCCCCUAACUUCGGGAUAAGCUUGGGAAACUGGGUCUAAUACCGGAUAGGACAAUCGUUUAGUGUCGGUUGUGGAAAGUUUUUUCGGUUAGGGAUGAGCCCGCGGCCUAUCAGCUUGUUGGUGGGGUAAUGGCCUACCAAGGCGGCGACGGGUAGCCGGCCUGAGAGGGUGGACGGCCAAAUUGGGACUGAGAUACGGCCCAGACUCCUACGGGAGGCAGCAGUGGGGAAUAUUGCACAAUGGGCGCAAGCCUGAUGCAGCGACGCCGCGUGGGGGAUGACGGCCUUCGGGUUGUAAACCUCUUUCGACAGGGACGAAGCUUUGGUGACGGUACCUGUAGAAGAAGCACCGGCUAACUACGUG
rnacentral:rRNA from 1 species